rnacentral:misc_RNA from 1 species
GAUGAAGAACGUAGCGAAAUGUGAUACGUAAUGUGAAUUGCAGAAUUCAGUGAAUCAUCGAAUCUUUGAACGCACCUUGCGCCCUUGGGUAUUCCUGAGGGCAUGCCUGUUUGAGUGUCGUGUUACCCCUCUCACUUGCUUGUCUAACGAGUCAGUGGAUCAUGGUGGAAGUCGCUGGUUUUGAAUAAGAAGUCAGCGUCCGCCGAAAUAUGGGAACUCUGUGAAAGGAGGACACACCCGCACGAAAUGUUGUAAUUUCCUCGUUUCGAGUGUGGUAGACAUAUAUAUGACAUUUAUGACCUCAAGUCAGGUAGGACUACUCGCUGAACUUAAGCAUAUCAAUAAGCGGAGGA